GGUAACGCGAGUCUCCGCGGACAGCUAUCUCCCCUUUGAUCUUCAGAAACCCCGGGCCUCCAGGUGCCAUCGACUCUCCCGACAGGAUUGUGGCUUCGAGGACAAGGUCCGAUCUGCAGAAGGCCCCUGGGACUUAAGUGGUUUAGAGCUCCGUAAUAGGCAUGACCUGGAGAUUUCUCUGAUGAACGUAGUCUAGAAGUGACCUUUUUUUUUUUCUCCUGACAAGCAACCUCUAUUUCAAACCAGAGUGUGGCUGGGGAACCCGUUCUAUGGCAUUCUCCAGAGAGAAGUCUGGCCUAAUAACCGCAACGGGCUGCUUAAACCCAGCCCCUAACGCACUCAGGCAGCACCACGGCUUUGAGCCCCUGAAAUAUGGCCAGUGCGAACUGAAAUGUGCUAGAGACAGGCUGGCUUUGGAUGGCUUUGUAGGAAAACAAAACCAAAAAAAGAACGUAAACGAUCUCAUUAUAUCGAUCAUACGUGGAGAUGAUCCCAUUUGGAAUAUAUUAGGUUAAAUUAAAUGUAUUUCUAAAUUUAA